GCCCUACUGGCCUAAUGGUUAAGGCGUGAGACUUCUACCAAGUAAAUCUCAAGAUUGCGAGUUCGAGUCUCGCGUGGGGUU